rnacentral:rRNA from 1 species
AACGAACGCUGGCGGCAUGCCUAACACAUGCAUGUCGAACGAGAUCUUCGGGUCUAGUGGCGCACGGGUGCGUAACGCGUGGGAAUCUGCCCUUUGGUUCGGAAUAACAGUUGGAAACGACUACUAAUACCGGAUGAUGACGAAAGCCCAAAGAUUUAUCGCCAGAGGAUGAGCCCGCGUAGGAUUAGCUAGUUGGUGUGGUAAGGGCGCACCAAGGCGACGAUCCUUAGCUGGUCUGAGAGGAUGAUCAGCCACACUGGGACUGAGACACGGCCCAGACUCCUACGGGAGGCAGCAGUGGGGAAUAUUGGACAAUGGGCGAAAGCCUGAUCCAGCAAUGCCGCGUGAGUGAUGAAGGCCUUAGGGUUGUAAAGCUCUUUUACCCGGGAUGAUAAUGACAGUACCGGGAGAAUAAGCUCCGGCUAACUCCGUGCCAGCCGCCGCCGUAA